rnacentral:rRNA from 1 species
GACGAACGCUGGCGGCGUGCCUAAUACAUGCAAGUCGAACGCUGAAGGAGGGGCUUGCUCGUCUGGAUGAGUUGCGAACGGGUGAGUAACGCGUAGGUAACCUGCCUGGUAGCGGGGGAUAACUAUUGGAAACGAUAGCUAAUACCGCAUAACAGUAGAUGUUGCAUGACAUUUACUGGAAAGUUGCAAUUGCAUCGCUACCAGAUGGAGCUGCGGUGGAUUAGCUAGUUGGUGUGGUAACGCAUCACCAUGGCGGCGAUACAUAGCCGACCGGAGAGGGGGAUCGGCCACACUGGGAGGGAGACACGGCCCAGACGCCUACGGGAGGCAGCAGUAGGGAAUCUUCGGCAAUGGACGGAAGACUGACCGAGCAAGGCCGCGCGAGUGAAGAAGGUUGUCGGAUCGGAAAGCUCUGUUGUCAGAGAAGAACGAGUGUGAGAGUGGAAAGUUCACACUGUGACGGUAUCUUACCAGAAAGGGACGGCUAACUACGUG